rnacentral:rRNA from 1 species
CAUGUCUUUUUGAUAAUAAUUUAAAGUCUGACCUGCCCUAUGAUAAAUUUAUUAAAUGGCCGCGAUAUUUUGAUCGUGCAAAGGUAGCAUAAUCAUUAGUUUUUUAAUUGAGAACUGGAAUGAAAGGUCGAACGAAAAAAAAACUGUCUCAAUUUAAAUUUAAUUAGAAUUUUAUUUUUAAGUAAAAAAGCUUAAAUAUAUUUAAAAGACGAGAAGACCCUAUAGAGUUUUAUAUUUUUAAGUUUUAAUUAAUAGUGAAGAAUAAAUUGUUUAUAUUAUUUAUAAAUAUUUAGUUGGGGUGACUAGAAAAUUUAAUGAACUUUUUUUAUUGAUUUAACAUUGAUGUAUGAAUUAUUGAUCCAUAUUUUAUGAUUAAAAGAUUAAAUUACCUUAGGGAUAACAGCGUAAUUUUUUUUGAGAGUUCUUAUUAAAAAAAAAGUUUGCGACC